rnacentral:rRNA from 1 species
GACGAACGCUGGCGGCGUGCUUAACACAUGCAAGUCGAACGGAAAGGCCCCGCUUUUGUGGGGUGCUCGAGUGGCGAACGGGUGAGUAACACGUGAGUAACCUGCCCUUGACUUUGGGAUAACUUCAGGAAACUGGGGCUAAUACCGGAUAGGAGCUCCUGCUGCAUGGUGGGGGUUGGAAAGUUUCGGCGGUUGGGGAUGGACUCGCGGCUUAUCAGCUUGUUGGUGGGGUAGUGGCUUACCAAGGCUUUGACGGGUAGCCGGCCUGAGAGGGUGACCGGCCACAUUGGGACUGAGAUACGGCCCAGACUCCUACGGGAGGCAGCAGUGGGGAAUAUUGCACAAUGGGCGGAAGCCUGAUGCAGCAACGCCGCGUGCGGGAUGACGGCCUUCGGGUUGUAAACCGCUUUCGCCUGUGACGAAGCGUGAGUGACGGUAAUGGGUAAAGAAGCACCGGCUAACUACGUGC